rnacentral:rRNA from 1 species
GAGAGGGUGACCGGCCACACUGGGACUGAGACACGGCCCAGACUCCUACGGGAGGCAGCAGUGGGGAAUAUUGCACAAUGGGCGAAAGCCUGAUGCAGCAACGCCGCGUGAGGGACGACGGCCUUCGGGUUGUAAACCUCUUUUAGCAAGGAAGAAGCGAAAGUGACGGUACUUGCAGAAAAAGCGCCGGCUAACUACGUGCCAGCAGCCGCGGUAAUACGUAGGGCGCAAGCGUUAUCCGGAAUUAUUGGGCGUAAAGAGCUCGUAGGCGGUUUGUCGCGUCUGCUGUGAAAACCCGAGGCUCAACCUCGGGCCUGCAGUGGGUACGGGCAGACUAGAGUGCGGUAGGGGAGAUUGGAACUCCUGGUGUAGCGGUGGAAUGCGCAGAUAUCAGGAAGAACACCGAUGGCGAAGGCAGAUCUCUGGGCCGUAACUGACGCUGAGGAGCGAAAGGGUGGGGAGCAAACAGGCUUAGAUACCCUGGUAGUCCACCCCGUAAACGUUGGGAACUAGUUGUGGGGUCCAUUCCACGGAUUCCGUGACGCAGCUAACGCAUUAAGUUCCCCGCCUGGG